CCGCCUGCCGCCCACUGAGGUUUCCUCUCUGGGUUUCAAGUUCCACUCAAGACAAAAGCAGCAGGGAGCCAGGAAGUGAGGUGUAGAGAGGGGAAGACAUGCAGCAUGGGUCUCCGGGGUUGGGACUCGAACCUGGGAUAGCUGCGUCUGGGACUGAGGCCUCCGCAUAUGGAUCGCGUGCCCAGUACACAGGGUUAAAUGCCUCUGACAUUGGUGACAAAAAAAUUUGCUUUUUCAGUCAGCCUUGAAAAAUAAUUCAAGAAAUAGAGAAUAAUAUUUCAUAUUUUGAUGGCUUGUGACAAACAAUUGUGUGUGUGGUCACCAAAAAAAGUAUCUCUGAUCAAACAAUGGAUUAAAGGAUCAGAUCAUCCUAGAAGAGAUGUGUUUACCAUAGUAACUUUGUACAUAAUGAGCCUGUAAUAAAAAUGUAAAAAAUAUUGUAGCUAAUUUAAUCAAGAUUUCAUAUUUAACUUGUAUAUUUUGUUUUUAAGACCUCUGUUUUUUCAUCUGUAGAAUAUAGUCAACAUUUUAAAACAACCUGCUUUUGAGUGAUAAAUAAAAAGUGUUUUAUCUGCUGGA